CCUACGGGAGGCAGCAGUAAGGAAUAUUGCGCAAUGGGCGAAAGCCUGACACAGCGACGCCGCGUGGGGGAUGAAGGUCUUCGGAUUGUAAACCCCUUUCGGGAGGGAAGAUGGAAUGGGGUAACCCAUUCGGACGGUACCUCCAGAAGCAGCCACGGCUAACUUCGUGCCAGCAGCCGCGGUAAUACGAAGGGUGCAAGCGUUACUCGGAAUUACUGGGCGUAAAGCGUGCGUAGGCGGUUUGUUAAGUCUGUUGUGAAAGCCCCGGGCUCAACCUGGGAAUGGCAAUGGAAACUGGCGAGCUAGAGUACGGUAGAGGAGAGUGGAAUUCCCGGUGUAGCAGUGAAAUGCGUAGAGAUCGGGAGGAACAUCAGUUGCGAAGGCGGCUCUCUGGACCAGUACUGACGCUGAGGCACGAAAGCGUGGGGAGCAAACAGGAUUAGAUACCCUGGUAGUCCACGCCCUAAACGAUGCGAACUGGACGUUGGGAGCAAUUAGGCUCUCAGUGUCGAAGCUAACGCGUUAAGUUCGCCGCCUGGGGAGUACGGUCGCAAGACUGAAACUCAAAGGAAUUGACGG
rnacentral:rRNA from 1 species